CAGCGCGCUUUUGGGGAGUAGCUGCCCAUAUCAAUAAGGUAUGGGGCAUUUAUCAACAUACUUAGUGCUCAUCACUAUGGUAAAUGCAGCCUUUAUUGGCCUAGCAAGACCAAAUGCACAUUAACGCCAUAAAGAGGUGAGCUGCGUUGUGUGCAUUGGUUUAUUCGCUCGCCUCA
rnacentral:sRNA from 2 species